AGAUGGGAAGUUUUGGUUUCGCAUCUAGGUUUCGAUUUACUGGAGAUGACGUGUGGUCACGGCUGCUUUGGCGGAAGAUCAGCCAUCUUGACCCAACUUGGGAUGUCCGCCAUUUUGGGUGCCCCCGUCUCUCAGCCUGACCAACAUUCAUUCCGACCUUUUGUUUUAUGUAAUAGCGUGAGGGGCCUCGACUCUAUUCUGGCUACUUCCUGCUGACGGUUGGGCGUCGUCAUAGGGGUGGUGGGAGGUGGGCAGGCGAGAGUAGGGCUGUAGGAAGAGUUGAUUCACUGAAACUCGCGUCAUCUCUCAAAGGCGUUCUGCAGAUAUCUAACAAGGCAGGGAGCAACCGAGAUUAGGAACAGGAUUAAGCACAGGGGUCCCGCUAGGGGGAGGAGGCAAGUUACCCCAGUGCGGGGGUCUGGACCCCAUAGGUGGGAAUCCUGGCGUCUGGACUGUAUCCGGUCUCUGAGUUCAAGAAUUCUGGAGUUGGGAUGGUGAGGAUGACCGUAUGCAGUCCUGACCAACGUGGCUGCAGGGAUCCUGGCCACAAGUCGCUGAGGAGGACCUGAGCUCCAGGGAACAGGGUUUGAACGGGGACCUCCCUCUAGUCAUGGUCGUCUGGAGCAGGGUUCGAGGCAGUCCAAAUCUUGGGAUGAUGUGUUCGAUGAGGACCGUGGCCACAAUAUCCACCAUCUCUCGGGCUGUGAGAUAUGCCUCAAUCUACCCACUGCACCUGAGGUGACCACUACCUUAGGGUCAUGGACAGAAACGGAGGUCACCGUGAGGAUGAGGACAUCUCCUGAUCCCCAGGGACCUGCGGAGAGCCACCCGGUGGCCCGGCAGAGGUGCCCUGGCGCGGCCGAGGCUUCAGGCAGGACCACCCGGACGGAGGCAGGGAAUCAGGGAACUUACCCGGUGUUUCCAGGCGCUGGGUUCAGGUCCUGGUGAUGAGAGGAGAGAGGCUCCCCACCAGCGUGGGGCCUCGAUCCCCUCCCCAGGUUUCAGCUGAGGCCCUGGUGGCGAGAGGAGAGAGGCCCCCUCCUGGAGCGAGGCCUUAAUCUCCUCCCGGGUUUCGGCACCAAAUGGACAGUUUUUUAGGGGAAUGAAGGAGACCCCAAGGCAAAAUGACCUGUAGGAUGAGCUUUAUUGCCAGCAUCCUCGGGUGAGAUUCCGCUACUCGACAGAGGAGAGUCAGGGAAGUCGGGCCCGGGUUGGGGAGU